rnacentral:rRNA from 1 species
GUUGUAUGGUUAAGUGACUAAGCGUACACGGUGGAUGCCUUGGCAGUCAGAGGCGAUGAAAGACGUAGUAACUUGCGAUAAGCCCAGAUUAGGUAGUAACAACCAUUUGAGUCUGGGAUUUCUGAAUGGGGAAACCCACGUGCAUAAGCACGUAUCCUUACCUGAAUACAUAGGGUAAGGAGGCGAACCGGGGGAACUGAAACAUCUAAGUACCCCGAGGAAAAGAAAUCAACCGAGAUUCCGAAAGUAGCGGCGAGCGAAAUUGGACUAGCCCUUAAGCUUUACACGCGUUAGACGAACGGUCUGGAAAGUCCGACGAUACAGGGUGAUAGUCCCGUAGUUGACGACGUGUGUUCAGUGAAAUCGAGUAGGGCGGGACACGUGAUAUCCUGUCUGAAUAUGGGGGGACCAUCCUCCAAGGCUAAAUACUACUGACUGACCGAUAGUGAACCAGUACCGUGAGGGAAAGGCGAAAAGAACCCCUGUGAGGGGAGUGAAAUAGAACCUGAAACCGUGUACGUACAAGCAGUAGGAGCACCUUCGUGGUGUGACUGCGUACCUUUUGUAUAAUGGGUCAGCGACUUAUAUUCAGUGGCAAGGUUAACCAUCUAGGGGAGCCGUAGGGAAACCGAGUCUUAACUGGGCGUUCAGUCUCUGGAUAUAGACCCGAAACCAGGUGAUCUAGCCAUGGGCAGGUUGAAGGUUGAGUAACAUCAACUGGAGGACCGAACCGACUAAUGUUGAAAAAUUAGCGGAUGACUUGUGGCUAGGGGUGAAAGGCCAAUCAAACCUGGAGAUAGCUGGUUCUCCCCGAAAGCUAUUUAGGUAGCGCCUCGGACGAAUACUACUGGGGGUAGAGCACUGUUAAGGCUAGGGGGUCAUCCCGACUUACCAACCCUUUGCAAACUCCGAAUACCAGUAAGUACUAUCCGGGAGACACACGGCGGGUGCUAACGUCCGUCGUGGAGAGGGAAACAACCCAGACCGCCAGCUAAGGUCCCAAAUUACUACUAAGUGGGAAACGAUGUGGGAAGGCUCAGACAGCCAGGAUGUUGGCUUAGAAGCAGCCAUCAUUUAAAGAAAGCGUAAUAGCUCACUGGUCGAGUCGGCCUGCGCGGAAGAUGUAACGGGGCUAAGUAGUAAACCGAAGCUGCGGCAAUAUACUUUUGUAUAUUGGGUAGGGGAGCGUUCUGUAAGCGGUUGAAGGUGUGUGGUAACGCAUGCUGGACGUAUCAGAAGUGCGAAUGCUGACAUGAGUAACGAUAAAGGGGGUGAAAAACCUCCUCGCCGGAAGACCAAGGGUUCCUGUCCAACGUUAAUCGGGGCAGGGUAAGUCGACCCCUAAGGCGAGGCCGAAAGGCGUAGUCGAUGGGAAACGGGUUAAUAUUCCCGUACUUCUUACAAUUGCGAUGGGGGGACGGAGAAGGCUAGGUGGGCCUGGCGACGGUUGUCCAGGUUCAAGUGCGUAGGCUUAAGAGUUAGGUAAAUCCGGCUCUUUUUAAGGCUGAGACACGACGUCGAGCACCUACGGGUGUGAAGUCAUUGAUGCCAUGCUUCCAGGAAAAGCCUCUAAGCUUCAGAUUGUAAGGAAUCGUACCCCAAACCGACACAGGUGGUCGGGUAGAGAAUACCAAGGCGCUUGAGAGAACUCGGGUGAAGGAACUAGGCAAAAUGGUACCGUAACUUCGGGAGAAGGUACGCUCUUGAUGGUGAAGUCCCUUGCGGAUGGAGCUGACGAGAGUCGCAGAUACCAGGUGGCUGCAACUGUUUAUUAAAAACACAGCACUGUGCAAAAUCGUAAGAUGACGUAUACGGUGUGACGCCUGCCCGGUGCCGGAAGGUUAAUUGAUGGGGUUAGACUUCGGUCGAAGCUCUUGAUCGAAGCCCCGGUAAACGGCGGCCGUAACUAUAACGGUCCUAAGGUAGCGAAAUUCCUUGUCGGGUAAGUUCCGACCUGCACGAAUGGCGUAAUGAUGGCCACGCUGUCUCCACCCGAGACUCAGUGAAAUUGAAAUCGCUGUGAAGAUGCAGUGUACCCGCGGCUAGACGGAAAGACCCCGUGAACCUUUACUACAGCUUGGCACUGAACAUUGACCCUACAUGUGUAGGAUAGGUGGGAGGCUUUGAAGCACGUACGCCAGUAUGUGUGGAGCCGUCCUUGAAAUACCACCCUUGUAGUGUUGAUGUUCUAACGUCGACCCCUUAUCGGGGUUGCGGACAGUGCCUGGUGGGUAGUUUGACUGGGGCGGUCUCCUCCCAAAGAGUAACGGAGGAGCACGAAGGUGGGCUAAUCACGGUUGGACAUCGUGAGGUUAGUGCAAUGGCAUAAGCCCGCUUGACUGCGAGAAUGACAAUUCGAGCAGGUGCGAAAGCAGGUCAUAGUGAUCCGGUGGUUCUGAAUGGAAGGGCCAUCGCUCAACGGAUAAAAGGUACUCCGGGGAUAACAGGCUGAUACCGCCCAAGAGUUCAUAUCGACGGCGGUGUUUGGCACCUCGAUGUCGGCUCAUCACAUCCUGGGGCUGAAGUCGGUCCCAAGGGUAUGGCUGUUCGCCAUUUAAAGUGGUACGCGAGCUGGGUUUAGAACGUCGUGAGACAGUUCGGUCCCUAUCUGCCGUGGGCGUUGGAAGAUUGAAGGGGGCUGCUCCUAGUACGAGAGGACCGGAGUGGACGAACCUCUGGUGUUCGGGUUGUGUCGCCAGACGCAUUGCCCGGUAGCUAAGUUCGGAAUCGAUAACCGCUGAAAGCAUCUAAGCGGGAAGCGAGCCCUGAGAUGAGUCUUCCCUGAUACUUUAAGUAUCCUAAAGGGUUGUCGGAGACUACGACGUUGAUAGGUCAGGUGUGUAAGUGCUGUGAGGCAUUGAGCUAACUGAUACUAAUUGCCCGUGAGGCUUAACCAUACAACACCCAAGGGGUUU